rnacentral:lncRNA from 1 species
GUCUCUGAGGCCUGAAAUACCCACACUCGGGCUUGAGGACCGUCACCCAAGAGUGGUCCCUGACCUGUUCCUCCCUCCUCACCUUCCCAUCGUUCCUUCCCUGCAGUUCCACCCCUUGCUUUAUAGACAGCCCGAGUCAGGCAUUUCUAUUUGACACAAACUUGUUUCUUCUCCCUGAGGCCUCAAGAGAUACAUUUUAACAAACACAGAUCAAUCGAUCAGUGUGUUCAUGGGUGUUGGGAUUGCUGGCAUCACCGCACAGCGACUGUUACCUGUUUCCUUCCAGCUCUUCCCGGCUCCCCCUUCCAAGUGCAUUAUUUAUUUCUUCUUUCCACAGAUUACAUUGCUAAGCAAAUCUACAUUCAAGUGUGCGUUGAUCCAGCUAACUUGUCCAAAUAUAGGUGGAAGCUCCUAUCUGGAAAAUGGCUUUAGCCUAAUUGUGUGAAAUCAAGCACUGUGUUCUGCAGGGUUCUGCAACCUGCGCUCAGAGCACUUUCCUCUGCUUGGAUCUUGUAAAGAGCUCCUGAUGAUAUUUAGUUUUUUCCAAAUGAAAUUCCAUUCUGUAAUGUAGCACCAUGUUUCGGGAAGAAUGGCAGCAACUCAGUCAGGUCAAGGAUAAAUACUGACUGUAGUGUCUUAUUCUUCAGAGUGAGGCCCAAACAAGCUGUCCCUUUGAAGUGCUCAUUUCCCUCUUCUGGGCAUCCCCUCUGUCACCUGUCUUCUUACAUAGCUGCAGAAGAGAUGUUUAUCUAGCCCACUGUGGUUCGUUGAGAAGAGGCAAGGGUCAGAAAAUAAAAGGAAAUUCUAUAAACAAUUAUGAGGAAUGAAGGUUUUCUAAGCUACAAAGGGAGGUAUUGAAGUGUGCUUACUCCAUCCAAGGAUGCGAAUGGAUUGCUUGUGGAGUACCCAUUUUCCAGAUGCCACAAGACGUGUAGAACACACUCCGUAAUCUUGUGCAAGGAGCAGUGUGUGGUGGGCAUCCCUGAGUCGGCUUUAUACGCACUCCUGGUUAAACACUGUGUACAACCCAGAAUUCAGACGCAAAGUUUUCCUUCAGUAAGAGCAGUGGGAUAUUUUCUUUCCAGACACGGGACCAUUGGUUUUUAGUGGAAUCUGGGAUUUCCAGUGUUUUGUUUACUGUUUGAAGCCGGCAUCUACAUUUCCAGAAAGUUAUCGUGCACUUGUUAUUCAGUCCCUCGAGUGUUUAUUAAGCACCUUCUAUAUAGUGAGCAGAGUGCUGUCAAGCCUCUGUCUGUCUGUCUUUCUGUCUGUAUAUCCAUCCAUCCAUCUAUCCAUCCUUCUAUCUAUCUAUCUAUCUAUCUAUCUAUCUAUCUAUCUAUCUACCUACCUACCUAACCUAUCUAUGUGUGUGUAUGCAUGUACAUGCACUCACUAGCCUUUAGCAAUGAGAGGAACAGCCGAAGACCCAGCGGCUGCUGGGCUCACUUUGCCUUGAGGUCCACCAGUGUUCCUCACCAGUGGAGAUGAUCCUGAGGACAGCCACUGGUUCUUGUUAGCAGUCUCUAGCCCCAUUCUUGGGGGAAGUCAGGUGGGGGGAGAUGCCUCUGAUGAAAUCUUCAGGGUUGGCUAAAUCCCAUGAAUUCCUGCUGCCCUAUGUUCCUCACAACGCCUUGUUCUCUUGGCCCAGAGACCGAGAAGAUUGUCCUUGAGGCAGGAAACGGACUGCCAUCCUGGAAAUUCAAUGACCAGCUCUUCCCUUGCGAUGUGUGUGGGAAAGUGUUCGGACGACAGCAGACAUUGUCUCGACACCUCUCAUUGCACACAGGUAUGUAAGGGUCGUAGCUCCCAGCCUUCCACGGGCCCUUCCAGAGCUCUCUACUAGCAAGAAGCUGAGUUUCUCUAAGAGAAUUUUGAAGUGGUGGGAACUUAACUGAUUCUGACCUUUACAGGCCUUGCUGCCUGGCACAUGUAAAUGAGACCCUGGAAAAGCUUUUCUAUGGUGAAAAGCCUCAUUGAAUUCCCAGAGGAACUAAUGAGAAGCGAUCUGCACUUAAGUACCUCUAGGUCAACUCCUGAACUCUGUAAAGGAUGGAUUCAGAUCCUUUGAAAGGUUCGGAGCUGCCCCACCUUCUUGGUAUCAACUUCUUUUCUAUUAAGGAAAGAUUUUAAUUUAGAUUUCAGUGCGAAUGCUAAGUGUGAGAUAGGCUUAUGUAAACAACAGCCAAGCUGCAGGAAGAUCUUAGGAGACACUCCUCUGAUUUCCACUCACACUGGUAGGAGCAGUGGGGUGGGGACCAAUGUGCAGCAGAUGGUCUGCUCCAAGGGGCAGAACCAGGAGGGGAGUGAAGAUAACAAGAAGCAAAGAGAAAGCAAAUAGUAACAACCAGCAGAAGUAAGCUAAGCCGGGAAAGGUCAGGGAAGCUGCGGGUGCAGGUGACAGCCGACACGGGUUGGAAUGUGGCUCAGAGGUAGAGCCCAUGUGAAGCCAGGAUUCAGUCUCCAACACCAAAGAAAAUACAGUCAACUGUUUUGAAAGUUUAACAUCGAAAGUCAGACCUUUAAAAUAUCCAGAUUAAAAACUAUAUAUAUAUAUCCAGAUAUACCAAUAUGAUAUAAGCCAGGUAUACUGAAACAUGCCUGUAAUAUCAGCAUUUGGGAGAAUGAGGCAGGAGGAUGACCAAUUUGAACACAGCAUGGAGUGCAGAGGAACACCCUGGUCCAAAAAAGGAAAAAUAUAACAAAUCAAAGUUAAGGGGGUUUGUACAAUUAUGCAAAAAAAUAAAAGCACAGAGACAGAGUAUUAAUAGGACAAGAUUAAUUUUGACCUUUUAUCUUUUUAAAUCUUCUAAAUUCAAAUUUUCAUCGUAUAUUAGACAGAUAACGUGUUCUUAAGAAGUGAGGAUUUUUAAGGCCUCAUUCUUUAAGCAUACUUAAAUGCAUUUCAAGUAACCAAGUAACAGAGGAUGAAUAAAAUUCCCCACUUAAUUAGGAUCAAUUUAAAAAAAGGGAAGAAGAAGG